UUUUGAUAGGGUAGGAUUACACCAGGCUGUGUAUGUCACCGAAUAAAAAUAUGCAAAGAUAUACACUACAUACAGUUAUUUACUGAGAUGUUUGUGUUGUUUUUUAUGUCUUUAAGAUUGAGAAUGUUGCUUCAUUGGAUGCUCUGCAAGCAUGAGACACAGCACAAUGUUACAGACAGCAGGCUGUCUGAGACAUGUGGCUGCUGUGGAAGAAAAGAAAGAAAUCGUGGCAGACUACCUGCAAUGGUAUAUUAUUGGCCACAACUCAUCUGUAUUUGAUAGGUUCUUUCAGUCCUUCAGUUUCUUACUGCACCACAGCAACACCCUUCUUUGCUGACUCCUGUCCUGUGCCACUCUGAAAAGCGACUCACUGGCUUUGAACUUGAGAGACUCUUCAAACCUGACCUCAGCCCUUCAGGGAGUAACAGGAGACUAAAAGAAAGUCAAACCUUGGCCUACUGGGCAGACUAUCUUCUCGAUUGUGAAGAAGGCGAGGCUGCUGUGUCUGUGGAGGAUGUUUUGAUGUUUGCAACUGGGCUGACUUCACUUCCACCUUCUGGCUUGGAACCAUCGCCACAAAUAGAGUUCCUGGAUGACUCUCCAUUCCCAAUGGCAAAUACAUGUUCAAACCUGUUGAAAUUACCACUCCAAGAUUCAUGCAAUGUGUUUAAGUUACAAAUGGACUUUGGAAUCCAAAAUAGUCCAGGAUUUGGCUGUUUAUAAGCCAUUUGACUGGAAAACCACUAGAGCAUGGACUCUAAAAAUGUUGUCUACUAUCAUUGGUGCACUGAAAGGUGCAGUUGCUUUUGUUAAAGAGGUUU